rnacentral:rRNA from 1 species
UGUGAGCUCGAUGAGUAGGGCGGGACACGUGGUAUCCUGUCUGAAUAUGGGGGGACCAUCCUCCAAGGCUAAAUACUCCUGACUGACCGAUAGUGAACCAGUACCGUGAGGGAAAGGCGAAAAGAACCCCGGCGAGGGGAGUGAAAAAGAACCUGAAACCGUGUACGUACAAGCAGUGGGAGCACGCUUAGGCGUGUGACUGCGUACCUUUUGUAUAAUGGGUCAGCGACUUAUAUUCUGUAGCAAGGUUAACCGAAUAGGGGAGCCGAAGGGAAACCGAGUCUUAACUGGGCGUUAAGUUGCAGGGUAUAGACCCGAAACCCGGUGAUCUAGCCAUGGGCAGGUUGAAGGUUGGGUAACACUAACUGGAGGACCGAACCGACUAAUGUUGAAAAAUUAGCGGAUGACUUGUGGCUGGGGGUGAAAGGCCAAUCAAACCGGGAGAUAGCUGGUUCUCCCCGAAAGCUAUUUAGGUAGCGCCUCGUGAAUUCAUCUCCGGGGGUAGAGCACUGUUUCGGCAAGGGGGUCAUCCCGACUUACCAACCCGAUGCAAACUGCGAAUACCGGAGAAUGUUAUCACGGGAGACACACGGCGGGUGCUAACGUCCGUCGUGAAGAGGGAAACAACCCAGACCGCCAGCUAAGGUCCCAAAGUCAUGGUUAAGUGGGAAACGAUGUGGGAAGGCCCAGACAGCCAGGAUGUUGGCUUAGAAGCAGCCAUCAUUUAAAGAAAGCGUAAUAGCUCACUGGUCGAGUCGGCCUGCGCGGAAGAUGUAACGGGGCUAAACCAU